rnacentral:rRNA from 1 species
GAUGAACGCUGGCGGCGUGCCUAAUACAUGCAAGUCGAGCGAAGCGGGGACAGGUGAGUAACACGUGGGUAACCUCCUAUAAGGCUGGGAUAACUUCGGGAAACCGGUGCUAAACCGGAUACUUAUACAUUGAGCCGCGCUGCAUUAGCUAGUUGGUAAGGUAACGGCUUACCAAGGCAACGAUGCAUCGCCGACCUGGGAGGAUGAUCGGCCACACUGGAACUGAGACACGGUCCAGACUCCUACGGGAGGCAGCAGUAGGGAAUCUUGCGCAAUGGGCGAAAGCCUGACAGAGCAACGCCGCGUGAGUUAUGAAGGUCUUCGGAUCGUAAAACUCUGUUAUUAGGGAAGCGGUACCUAAUCAGAAAGCCACGGCUAACUACGUGCCAGCCGCCGCGGUAAUAC